UUUGCCUACGGGGGGCAGCAGUGGGGAAUAUUGCGCAAUGGGCGAAAGCCUGACGCAGCGACGCCGCGUGAGGGAUGAAGGUCUUCGGAUCGUAAACCUCUGUCAGCAGGGAAGAACGGUCACUGUGCUAAUCAGCAGCGAAUUGACGGUAGCUGCAAAGGAAGCACCGGCUAACUCCGUGCCAGCAGCCGCGGUAAUACGGAGGGUGCGAGCGUUAAUCGGAAUUAUUGGGCGUAAAGCGAUCGCAGGCGGUCUGUUAAGCC
rnacentral:rRNA from 1 species